UCAGUUACAAUGCAGCAAAGAAAUAAUUUUGUGGUUGGAGUUCACCACAAGAUGAAGGACAAACUGGUUUUAUUAUUUUGGGUUUUUUGAGGCAGGGUUUCUCUGUGUAGCCCUGGCUGUCCUGGAACUGACUCAAUAGACCAGGCUGGCUUUGAACUCAGAAUCUGAGUGCUGGGAUUAAAGGUGUGUACCACCACCACCCAGCUUCUCAGCUGAGGUCCCCACUUCCGUAAUGACUGUUACUUGUGUCAUAUUGACAUAAAAACUAGCCAGCGUAGAUAUCUUUGGCAACACAGCAAGACUGGGGCAGAGUGGAUAUUAGUGAGGGAGAGGGAAGAGACCGGUAUCUUAAUUUUAAAAUUAAUUUACACGAGGGGCCUAGAGAGAUGGCUCAGCAGUUAAGAGCACUGACUGUUCUUCCAAAGGUCCUGAGUUCAAUUCCCAGCAACCACAGGGUGGCUCACAGCCAUCUGUAAUGAGAUCUGGUGCCCUCUUCUGGUCUGCAGAGAUACAUGCAGGCAGAACAUGGUAUACAUAAUAAAAUAAAUAUAUUUUUAAAAAAAUAAUGUACAUAAGGCUGGAGAUAUGGCUCUGUGCUUAAGAGCAGUUGAUCUGCCUGGUGGUGGCACACACCUAUAUCCUAGCUCUUGGAAGGUGGAGGCAAAAGGAUCAGAAAUUCAAUGAUAUCCUUGGCUAUAUAAUGAAUACCAGGUCAGCCUGGGCUAUAAGACCAUGUCUCAAAAAAAAAAAAAAAAAGUGUCUGGGAAUAGCCCAGUUAUAGAGUACCUGCCUGAUAUGUUCAAAAUGCUAGUUAUACACACACACACACACACACACACAAACACACACGGAAGAGAGGAGAAUCAGGCCUCUUGUACUGUCUCCAACCAAGGACAUUUCUUGCACACAUUACCAUAUUCCUUUCAAAGUCCCCUCAGACACAUCUGUGAAAGCCAGCAUUCCCUCAGGGACUUGAUAGUUCCUACCUGUAAAAAGAAUUCCCCUUAUCUCUGGAAAAAAGGGGGCUUGAAGAUAGUUCCUUCUGCUAAAAGGAGUCAUUCUCUCUGGCAAAGGGAUGUAUGGCUCUCAUUAACACAACUGUGGUGCCUAUUAGCACGUCAAGGUUGACCCCUCAGUCCCUACCCAAGCCCUCAUCUAGCUCACAGGCUCCCUCCCUCCUAGGUCCCAUAAAACCCAGGAGAUGUCAUAAUACCCCCUCCAGCUCCCCCUGCCCUCUUCUGCUCUCCUGGAGACACAGCCUUGGCAAUUUAGAAUAACUUUCUUUUUCACCCAUGGAGUGGCUGUUUGGGUUUCUUCACUGUAUCCAUUUCAUUCCCGAUCUGCGACUUUGUAGUCUUUCCUGUAAAACAGGAAUCUGAAAACUCCUGCGGUGGUGCACUGUAAUCCCAGCAUUGGGAAACAGAGGCAGGAAAGCCAGAAAUUCAAGGUCAUCUUCCACUAUGUAGCAAACUCGAUAACCCGGGCUUCAUGAGACCAUCACAACCCUUACUUCCUAUCCCCGCAAGAACCUAUAGUCCCAUCACUUAGGAAGCUGAGGAGGGAGCAUUACCACAAGUCCCAGGCCAGCCUCGGCUACAGUGGGAGACCCUGUCACAACCCCAUGAAACCUGCCGAGAGUAAUGUAGUGUAAUCAAUCCUACUGCUUUGGAGGCUGGAGCAGUGAAACCUCCACAAGCCAGCAGACCAAGACCUGUGGGAGAGGAAGGCAUUUACAGGAAAACAGAUGAAGGGCAACACAUCAAAAAAUUUAAAGGCCAUUUCAGAAAGACGAACCUCACACAUUUUCUUGCAUUACAGAGGAUCUCAAUGCAAAUAAACUAAAAGCGGAAAGAGACUGUACUGGCUGGUUUUGUGUGUCAACCUGACACAAGCUAGCAUCAUCAGAAGGACCCUCAGUUGAAGAAAUGUCUCCGUGAGAUCCAGCAAUAAGGCAUUUUCUCAUUUAGUGAUCAAUGGGGGAGGGCCCAGCCCAUAGUGUGUGGUGCCAUCCCUGGGCUGCUGGUCCUGGGUUCUCUAAGGUGGCCUGAGCAAGCCAUGGGAAGCGAGCCAGUAAGCAGCACCCCUCCAUGGCCUCUGCAUCAGCUCCUGCCUCCAGGACCCUGCCCUGCUUGAGUUCCUGCCCUGCCUUCCUUCAGUGAUGAACAAAUGCUAAAAGAAAUAGUCAACCAAGUUCCAGAUCAUCUGGGAAACGUCCUUUUGGUAAUCAGGAGGCCCGAAUAUCAAAAUCUCAGCUUCUGCUUCAGGGUUCCACUGGUUCACGUGAAGCACGAAAUAGUCAACCAAGUUCCAGAUCAUCUGGGAAACGUCCUUUUGGUAAUCAGGAGACCCGAAUAUCAAAAUCUCAGCUUCCUCUUCAGGGUUCCACUGGUUCACGUGAAGCAC